UAUUUUGUAACCAACCAUUUUUACAUAACAAUCCUGUUUAAGGUUCAGAGAUUUCGAACAGUACAAAGAUCGGGAUUUUAAGUCUGCAAUAGCGUUUAUAAGGGAUAAGUUUUUAAACUUCAAGAACCCAGAUGGGUCUUUUGGAAUAGAUACAAGAACAAGAACUGUUUUUGUUCACAACACUUGCGCAACGGAUACAGAAAAUGUGAGGAAAGUCUUUAAGGAUGUAAAGACGACAAUAUUGGAGAAAAAUGUGAGAGAAAUGUUAUAAAACCUUUAGUAUUACAAAAAUGUGCUUAUUUUGUUUGAAAUAUUUCAUUAUUGCUUUAAACGGCAAUAAAAACAUGCGUUAUCAAAUAUAAUGAUGAAAAUACUAA